CCCGCACAAGCGGUGGAGCAUGUGGUUUAAUUCGAUGAUACGCGAAGGAACCCUUACCUGGGCUCAAAUGUAUGUUGACGUAUUCUGAAAGGGAUACUUCUUCGGACAAUAUACAAGGUGCUGCAUGGUUGUCGUCAGCUCGUGCCGUGAGGUGUCGGGUUAAGUCCCAUAACGAGCGCAACCCCUAUCAUUAGUUGCCAUCAGGUCAAGCUGGGGACUCUAAUGAAACUGCCUACGCAAGUAGUGAGGAAGGCGGGGAUGACGUCAAAUCAGCACGGCCCUUACGUCCAGGGCUACACACGUGCUACAAUGGCCGAUACAGAGGGCAGCUACCUGGUGACAGGAUGCAAAUCUCCAAAGUCGGUCUCAGUUCGGAUCGGAGUCUGCAACCCGACUCCGUGAAGUUGGAUUCGCUAGUAAUCGCGCAUCAGCCAUGGCGCGGUGAAUACGUUCCCGGGCCUU
rnacentral:rRNA from 1 species